UGGUGUGAACCGUUGCAUGACUCCUCCAUGUCUUGGAGUAGGUCAUUGGGUGGAUCCUCUAUUUCCUUAUGUGGGCCACUGGAUGGCUCCUCCAUGUCUUGGAGUAGAUCAGUGGGCAGCUCUUCCAUU
rnacentral:pre_miRNA from 8 species